ensembl:lncRNA
GGGGGGGGGGGGGGGGGGGGGGGGGGGGGGGGGGGGGGGGGGGGGGGGGGGGGGGGGGGGGGGGGGGGGCUUCCCUUCCCUUCCCUUCCCUUCCCUGAAACUUCCCUUCCCUUCCCUUCCCUUCCCUUCCCUUCCCUCUCUCCGGGCACCCCAAGUGCCGGCAGCACACCCUGUUCUCGUCAGUGCUUAAUUGUCCCCCUUGCUGCCUUCUUCACCUUUCGGUGUCACGGCGCCUGCCCUCGUGUUCGGACCCCUGACCCGCCCUGGUUCCCGUGCUGCCAGCUGUCCCUGCUGCCCGCCAGGCCUCGCUCCAGGGCCCUUCCAGCCGCCUUUCGCGCAGGGAAGAAGGGAUGGCGGCGGCUCUCGCAGCGGCUGCGCCCGGCGCUUGCUUGGGCAAAGCGGGAUUGUCUGCAAAGGGCAGGUGGGAAGAGCCCCUCGCAGCCCGGGCUGCCCAGCGCUCUGGCACAGGACUCCUGGGCGAACAUCUGCUGGUGACUGUGGCUUGCUGAGAGGACAGCUGCAUGAACCAGGUUAUUCACCUAUGACUACAACCAAGUCCCAGCUACUAGUGUGGGAUUCCAGAAAGAAGUAUUUUCUGCAUUUUGAUUUAUCUCUCCUGGUUAUAAAAACAGUGAGUAUUUUUAAAGUAUUUUUAAUAUUUCUAUGUGACGGUAAUAUUGCAAUCCUUUGUGAUAAACCGGAAUUUAUUACAGCAUCCUGAUGUCAAAUCAAUUUUUUUUGUACAUUGUGUGACAAAAAGUGAAGACUUUGUAGUUUAUAGAAGCCAAAAAAUACGCAUAGAUUAUAGAGAUUAGAGGCAAUAUUUUAUAGCCUGUUUAUCACACAAGAUUUAAAAAGACUUGGGUGCAAACCAGCAUAAAGGCAAUGCCAUUUUCUGGAUCUACAGUGUUUCUGCUAAAAGUGCAAUAGGACACUAUAGGAAAUGCAAAUGCCUGCAAAACCGUGACAGCAGUUUUUUUUGACAGCCUUAACCAGUGACUGUAAUGCAUACAGCAUGAGAAGUAAUUUAACUUAAUACCUCCAGUUCAGGUUUCAGCCUUGAGAAAUCUGCAUAUUCUCCUAUUUGUGCUUAAUGAUGUUGCACAGCAUUUGAUACUUUUGGGAUCAUUACAGUGUCAACUCUCCCAUCUUGGCCAACUGGAAAUUAGAUUCUGUUUCUCUUGUGAUCCCAACUGAAUGAAACAGUUGCAGAGCUGAAUAAGGCCAGCAUCUAGUUAUAUCCAGAAAUUCAAGACUGCUUUGGCAAUUUCAGCCUUUGUGAACUGUCCCUGAAAAAGACAGGGAAGGAGGGUCUUGGUGUGGAGCGGAUCUGGUUAUAUCUAGAAAUUCAAAACUGCUUUGGCAAUUUCACCCUUUUUGAACUGUCCCUGAAGAAGACAGGGAAGGAGGGUCUUGGUGUGGAGCGUGGGACACAACAACUGUAGUGGUGACAAGAUCUGCUGCUGCCCGUGGUGUGCUGGACUCCUAACACGGAAAGGCACUUCAAAAAUACAGUGCUUCAGGGUGGAACCCUUCCCCUAUUCCUCUCUGAAACCUCUGCCUGCAGACUGCUGCGAGCUGUGGGCCAUCUCUGCUUCCACCUUGUUCCCAGGGCAGCUCAGAAAUGCCCCAGGACCAAAGCUGAAUGCAGACAUCCACGUACCCAGCCAAUGCCUUUGGCAUCAAGUAGUCAUGCUGGCCCUAUAAAUCUUCAAAUCUCUUCCAACCUAGCCAGGUGAAAAACAGCACUGGGGACUCCCUGAGGGCAUGGAAUGCUGAGAAAAGUAAACUAUAUCUGGUAUUUCUCAGGCUAGUUGUUGUUGAGACUGUAUCUCCUACUUCUCAUCCCAGUGACUGGGCUCUGAUGCCCUAAAGUUGCAUAACUCUGCAACUCGUUGCUCAUCCAUGCUUCAAAGCACCAAUGAAGCCCAGCCCACCCUAAGGAGUGAACACCACAUUCUGGACACUUUACAAACAAGCCAAGUGGGUUUUAGGACCUACCACUCUGGAAGUCUUUCUCCUGGCAGCCCAUGGUGAUGCCUUUCACAGUCUGUGAUGGUGGGACUGGGAUUUGAGGGGCCUGUUUUCUGCAGAGGUUUUGUGUGGAGCCCGGCAGUUCUGACCAGCAGCUCUGUCACUGCACAGCCAGAAAACUGGCAGCAACUUCUGCCCCUGAACAUCUGCAUCCUCUGUAGGUUCUCUGGGCGUGCCAGGCAAACAGGUUGAAAUGGCUCUGGUUUCAAUUAGUCACACAGGGAAUACAAACAAAGGUGUCAAAAUGUCCUUCGAAAACUCAGUUCCCACAGAAGAUAAAAGGCUGUGGAAUAGUUUGUACAAGACUAACUAAUGCAGCUUUCACAAAUAUGACCCAGGAACAAUCACAGUUUUUCAGGGGAGUGUUUGGCCUUUGCCUUUAUUCAUCCAUGACCAAGUGCCAGUCAGUAAAGGAGCAGGCUCUGGCACAGGCAGGAGGGAGGGAGAUCCAUCUUGGAUGUCCAACGUAGACUUCACAGAGUAGUUUGGUUGGAAGGGACCUUAAAGACCAUCUAGUUCCAAGCUAUCAGCCACAGACAGGGACAUGCUCCACUAAACCAAGUGGCUCAGAGCUCUACACCCCCUCUUUCAACAGCAACACCUCCUUCCAGCCCACCAGCAACAGACCCUUGCCAUUCCACUGGCAUCUGCCCACCAAAUGCCAGCUCUCUAAAGGAGAACAUAUUAGAAGGAGGUGGGUGGCAGUGGUCUGUCAGCAGUUUAUCAGGCUGAAAAAUAGGGAAAUUCUUCAGUUCCAGAAGAAUGACAGAAAUCCAAGAUUUACAUCAGCCUGAAAAGCUCUGAAGGACUCACUAAAAAAGAGACUGCAGUCAGCCUAGGGUAAUGCUGCAGAUCUGGACAGGUGGGAGAAAUAUUCACCAUGCUGACAGGGAAACUGGAUCAGUCAGAUGUGGUCAUGCCUGACUGGAACUGAUGUUUCUAAUCUUUGUUUGAGAUUAUUGCUGCUUUUCCUUCUCUGAACUGCUGUGUUUUACUUGUGUGACUUUUGCCAUUAUACAAACUAAAGUAACAAUUUCUUCUUUUGUCUUAUGCUCAGUAAAUUGUGCAGCACACUUCACUGGGACCACAGAGCUCCAAACUGAUGAGACAGGCAAGAACAUGAAAAUGAGCACAAGAGAAACCCCACUGUGUUUGCUUCAAGCCUUGCCAUCAGAGCCACUCUGCUAAAAAGUGACCUAGAAUUGCAGGUUAGGACCAAGCUCUGGCUUCCAUAUUUAGAACAGAAAAGCAUCUAUAAAGCAGGGGCCAAGGUCUUGAACCUGUUAGCUGGUUUUCUAUAGCACAGUUGAAAUUUCUGUCAUUAAGUGCUCUUUUAUUUAGAGGUGGUGAAGGUAAAGGUAUCUUUUUUCAUUUUUAGCACUAAGCCAAAAAUCCCAAACCUGCUCGUGGUCCUCUUCAUUAUCCAAACACAAAAUAGUUACCUCUCUCCCCUUUGAAUUAAGUAUAUAUAUUCUCUGCAUGCUAAAAUACUAAAACAAUCAGGGGCCAACUUUUAAGUACUAAAAGAAGUUUUACAGGUAUGCUACAUUUGACUGAAAGGAGAAAAAACAAGUAUUACAGUAAAAUGCUUCAGAGGAGUUAGCAAAGGACUGCGUCGGGGUGGAGCCCCUCGUGUCCUCCUUGGUCAUUUCUUUACUCCAGUAUCAUGCAAUGUUUUGUCACUUCACUUUUUGUGUUCUCCAUCAAGUAAGUUCAUGCUUGCUUAGCCAAAUUCCUUCCCCAGAAGUAAACACAAGGAUGUCAUCGUAGAACUAGGAUUUAGUGGUGGUCUUGCAAGUUUUACACACAGCUUGUGCAUAUGAACAGAGUGGUACAUGUGGGAGGGAAACAGCUCUUAUCAGAGGCACUGAUACAGCUGGCAAAGGCAGUUUUUGAACAUAAAGGUCCUUCUGAGAUUUAACACAUCACUACAACUUUGGUGGCACUGCUAUCACGAUAUGCUUCAGGUAUUUGUUUGCAAUACCUCCUCCCUGCCCCUGGGUCUGCCCACACUCUGCCAGUGUUGUCAGGCCAAGGCCUAUUGCCACUGAGGCCAAUUCCUGGACAGAAGCAUGGUCCUACACACUAAUGAACAUCAUUGACAAGCAGCAAAUGGUGCAGGUGCUCAAGGGUGAAAAGCUACAGCAAUUUGACUGACCUGGUGGUGUGUUGCAUUGGAACAAGCACAGAUCAAUUCCAACACAUUUCUGGCUGCAUGGGAAAAAAGGACAAAGUUGUUCUCACACAAGUCCUUCCACAGGGGACUUAAAACCACACUUGUAGCCUUUGUUUAAACAGUUCCAAAUUACAAACAUGAAAGGGCAGAAAAAAUUGAACAAGCAGACAGGACAGAAAAAUUGAAUGAGCAUUGGCUCUUCUUAUUUUAAUGAAGAAAUAUUUCAAGUUAAUAUCAGUGCAUAUUUAGAAAUAGCAUGUGAUACUCCCAAUGCCAAAUACAUCAGCAAAUUACAGUUUCAAAACUUUAUAAAUUAAUGGUAAUGAAAAAAAAAAAGAUUAACAUAGAGAAUAAGGUUCAAAAUAAACAUCCUGUUUGUUUGCUGCACUGUGUCAAUUAUAUUCCUGGUACUUAAACAGCACAAGAGAUCCAAUAUUUCAUGUAAUUAGGCUCCCCAAAGUAGCAGUUAUUUUUCUAUAAAUGAAUUAAGCAAUUUGCAUUUAUUUUUGAUGUAUAAUUAAAUGUUAUUCUUAGCUGUUACAAAGAAAUUUAGUCAUGUCAGAGUAAAAUUUCAUUCCAUGACUGAAAAACUCCCACUAAUAUAGGAACAUUGCCUCCUGGUUAUACCCACCGGUAACAGUCAGCUGAGAAUAGGAAGAACUACAUGUAAGCACAUUUGGCUGUUA